rnacentral:rRNA from 1 species
AUUGAACGCUGGCGGCAGGCCUAACACAUGCAAGUCGAACGAGUGGCGGACGGGUGAGUAAUGUCUGGGAAACUGCCUGAUGGAGGGGGAUAACUACUGGAAACGGUAGCUAAUACCGCAUACCAUAAGAUGUGCCCAGAUGGGAUUAGCUGGUUGGUGGGGUAACGGCUCACCAAGGCGACGAUCCCUAGCUGGUCUGCGAGGAUGAACAGCCACACUGGAACUGGGAAACGGUCCAGACUCCUACGGGAGGAAGCAGUGGGGAAUAUGGGACAUGGGGCGCAGGCCUGAGGCAGCCAUGCCGGGUGUAUGAAGAGGGCCUUCGGUUUGAAAAGUACUUUCAGCGGGGAGGCGUGACCCGCAGAAGAAGCACCGGCUAACUCCGUGCCAGCCGCCGCGGUAAUUC